rnacentral:lncRNA from 1 species
AAUAACCCCACAUUUAGCUGCUUAAAUAAAUGACACAUAUUUAUUAUCUCACUGUUCCCAGGCACCAGGGCUCCAGGCCAGCCUGCGUGCUGAAAGCAGAGUCUCUUUUGGGGCUACCGUGGCAUGUCCCUCGCUUCUGAGAAGGCUUCCUCCCCAGGCUGUUGUAGAUGCCGCAGUCUCGCGCUCACUGCUGUCCAGAUGGGCCAAAGAUGACAACCGUCCUGGCUCGGGGGUUCUCAGCAGAAUGUCAACAAGAACUUCAGCUGCAGAAAACAGA